rnacentral:rRNA from 1 species
CAGAACGAACGCUGGCGGCAGGCCUAACACAUGCAAGUCGAGCGAACCCUUCGGGGUUAGCGGCGGACGGGUGAGUAACGCGUGGGAAUAUGCCCUUCUCUACGGAAUAGUCUCGGGAAACUGGGGGUAAUACCGUAUACGCCCUUUGGGGGAAAGAUUUAUCGGAGAAGGAUUAGCCCGCGUUGGAUUAGGUAGUUGGUGGGGUAAUGGCCUACCAAGCCUACGAUCCAUAGCUGGUUUGAGAGGAUGAUCAGCCACACUGGGACUGAGACACGGCCCAGACUCCUACGGGAGGCAGCAGUGGGGAAUCUUAGACAAUGGGGGCAACCCUGAUCUAGCCAUGCCGCGUGAGUGAUGAAGGCCCUAGGGUUGUAAAGCUCUUUCAGCUGGGAAGAUAAUGACGGUACCAGCAGAAGAAGCCCCGGCUAACUCCGUGCCAGCAGCCGCGGUAAUACGGAGGGGGCUAGCGUUGUUCGGAAUUACUGGGCGUAAAGCGCACGUAGGCGGACCAGCAAGUUAGGGGUGAAAUCCCGGGGCUCAACCCCGGAACUGCCCUUAAAACUGUUGAUCUUGAGUUCGAGAGAGGUGAGUGGAAUUCCGAGUGUAGAGGUGAAAUUCGUAGAUAUUCGGAGGAACACCAGUGGCGAAGGCGGCUCACUGGCUCGAUAC